ACAGGCUAGUUCCGCCCAAGAGUUCAUAUCGACGGCGGAGUUCGGCACCUCGAUGUCGGCUCACCUUAGCGCGGCGGCGGAGAAGCUGCCAAGCGUAUGGCUGUUCGCCAUUUAAAAAGGUACGCGAGCUGGGUUCAGACCGUC
rnacentral:rRNA from 1 species